rnacentral:rRNA from 1 species
GACGAACGCUGGCGGCGUGCUUAACACAUGCAAGUCGAACGGAAAGGCCCUGCUUUUGUGGGGUGCUCGAGUGGCGAACGGGUGAGUAACACGUGAGUAACCUGCCCUUGACUUUGGGAUAACUUCAGGAAACUGGGGCUAAUACCGGAUAGGAGCUCCUGCUGCAUGGUGGGGGUUGGAAAGUUUCGGCGGUUGGGGAUGGACUCGCGGCUUAUCAGCUUGUUGGUGGGGUAGUGGCUUACCAAGGCUUUGACGGGUAGCCGGCCUGGGAGGGGGAACGGCCACAUUGGGACUGAGAUACGGCCCAGACUCCUACGGGAGGCAGCAGGGGGGAAUAUUGCACAAUGGGCGGAAGCCUGAUGCAGCAACGCCGCGUGCGGGAUGACGGCCUUCGGGUUGUAAACCGCUUUCGCCUGUGACGAAGCGUGAGUGACGGUAAUGGGUAAAGAAGCACCGGCUAACUACGUG